rnacentral:rRNA from 1 species
AUUGAACGCUGGCGGCAGGCCUAACACAUGCAAGUCGAACGGUAGCACAGAGGAGCUUGCUCCUUGGGUGACGAGUGGCGGACGGGUGAGUAAUGUCUGGGAAACUGCCCGAUGGAGGGGGAUAACUACUGGAAACGGUAGCUAAUACCGCAUAACGUCGCAAGACCAAAGAGGGGGACCUUCGGGCCUCUUGCCAUCGGAUGUGCCCAGAUGGGAUUAGCUAGUAGGUGGGGUAACGGCUCACCUAGGCGACGAUCCCUAGCUGGUCUGAGAGGAUGACCAGCCACACUGGAACUGAGACACGGUCCAGACUCCUACGGGAGGCAGCAGUGGGGAAUAUUGCACAAUGGGCGCAAGCCUGAUGCAGCCAUGCCGCGUGUAUGAAGAAGGCCUUCGGGUUGUAAAGUACUUUCAGCGAGGAGGAAGGCGUUGUGGUUAAUAACCGCAGCGAUUGACGUUACUCGCAGAAGAAGCACCGGCUAACUCCGUGCCAGCAGCCGCGGUAAAAGGG